GAUGAAGAACGCAGCGAAAUGCGAUAAGUAAUGCGAAUUGCAGAAUUUCCGUGAGUCAUCGAAUCUUUGAACGCACAUUGCGCCCACUGGUAUUCCGGUGGGCAUGCCUGUUCGAGCGUCAUUAUCCCCCCUCAAACCCCGUGUUUGGUGUUAGACCCAAGUUGUGUGAACAACUGGUCUCAAAGACAAUGACGGCGUCCGUGGGACCCUCGGUGCAACGAGCUUUUAGGAGCACGCGCUGUGUUUCAAGGACCCUCCGGGCCGGUCUCCUAUUUAUCAUCAAGGUUGACCUCGGAUCAGGUAGGAAUACCCGCUGAACUUAAGCAUAUCAAUAAGCGGAGGA
rnacentral:misc_RNA from 1 species